ACUUAUUGACGUCAACCAGGAUGUGAGGUCAUUGAGUAAAUGUGUGUUCGCGUGUGUGUGUGUGUGGAGUGAGUAUGAUACUGGCUGUUUGUGUUUUUGAAUAUUUGUGUUUUGUGAGUGAGUGAGUGAGUGAGUAUUAGGUCAUUUAAAAAAUCUACACCAUGAUCUUAUUUGAUCUGGUCCGUGUUGUUGCCCCGCUCGGAUACAGAGAUGAUAAUAACCGACUCGGGAGCUUCUGUAGCGAUGAUCGUGAGGCUUUUCACUAAACUCGGGGCAUUCACAGUUGAAACUGUGGUAAGAAGUGAUGAAUCUAUCAGAUAUACUAGAACAGGCAGGGUGCUGGAUCUCGGUCCAGUAUGAUCUGCUUGUUCACUGAGUAUAACUGCGAUUCUGAUCUCA